rnacentral:rRNA from 1 species
AGCGUACACGGUGGAUGCCCUGGCAGUCAGAGGCGAUGAAGGACGUGCUAAUCUGCGAUAAGCGUCGGUAAGGUGAUAUGAACCGUUAUAACCGGCGAUUUCCGAAUGGGGAAACCCAGUGUGUUUCGACACACUAUCAUUAACUGAAUCCAUAGGUUAAUGAGGCGAACCGGGGGAACUGAAACAUCUAAGUACCCCGAGGAAAAGAAAUCAACCGAGAUUCCCCCAGUAGCGGCGAGCGAACGGGGAGGAGCCCAGAGCCUGAAUCAGUGUGUGUGUUAGUGGAAGCGUCUGGAAAGGCGCGCGAUACAGGGUGACAGCCCCGUACACAAAAAUGCACAUAUUGUGAGCUCGAUGAGUAGGGCGGGACACGUGGUAUCCUGUCUGAAUAUGGGGGGACCAUCCUCCAAGGCUAAAUACUCCUGACUGACCGAUAGUGAACCAGUACCGUGAGGGAAAGGCGAAAAGAACCCCGGCGAGGGGAGUGAAAAAGAACCUGAAACCGUGUACGUACAAGCAGUGGGAGCACGCUUAGGCGUGUGACUGCGUACCUUUUGUAUAAUGGGUCAGCGACUUAUAUUCUGUAGCAAGGUUAACCGAAUAGGGGAGCCGAAGGGAAACCGAGUCUUAACUGGGCGUUAAGUUGCAGGGUAUAGACCCGAAACCCGGUGAUCUAGCCAUGGGCAGGUUGAAGGUUGGGUAACACUAACUGGAGGACCGAACCGACUAAUGUUGAAAAAUUAGCGGAUGACUUGUGGCUGGGGGUGAAAGGCCAAUCAAACCGGGAGAUAGCUGGUUCUCCCCGAAAGCUAUUUAGGUAGCGCCUCGUGAAUUCAUCUCCGGGGGUAGAGCACUGUUUCGGCAAGGGGGUCAUCCCGACUUACCAACCCGAUGCAAACUGCGAAUACCGGAGAAUGUUAUCACGGGAGACACACGGCGGGUGCUAACGUCCGUCGUGAAGAGGGAAACAACCCAGACCGCCAGCUAAGGUCCCAAAGUCAUGGUUAAGUGGGAAACGAUGUGGGAAGGCCCAGACAGCCAGGAUGUUGGCUUAGAAGCAGCCAUCAUUUAAAGAAAGCGUAAUAGCUCACUGGUCGAGUCGGCCUGCGCGGAAGAUGUAACGGGGCUAAACCAUGCACCGAAGCUGCGGCAGCGACGCUUAUGCGUUGUUGGGUAGGGGAGCGUUCUGUAAGCCUGUGAAGGUGUGCUGUGAGGCAUGCUGGAGGUAUCAGAAGUGCGAAUGCUGACAUAAGUAACGAUAAAGCGGGUGAAAAGCCCGCUCGCCGGAAGACCAAGGGUUCCUGUCCAACGUUAAUCGGGGCAGGGUGAGUCGACCCCUAAGGCGAGGCCGAAAGGCGUAGUCGAUGGGAAACAGGUUAAUAUUCCUGUACUUGGUGUUACUGCGAAGGGGGGACGGAGAAGGCUAUGUUGGCCGGGCGACGGUUGUCCCGGUUUAAGCGUGUAGGCUGGUUUUCCAGGCAAAUCCGGAAAAUCAAGGCUGAGGCGUGAUGACGAGGCACUACGGUGCUGAAGCAACAAAUGCCCUGCUUCCAGGAAAAGCCUCUAAGCAUCAGGUAACAUCAAAUCGUACCCCAAACCGACACAGGUGGUCAGGUAGAGAAUACCAAGGCGCUUGAGAGAACUCGGGUGAAGGAACUAGGCAAAAUGGUGCCGUAACUUCGGGAGAAGGCACGCUGAUAUGUAGGUGAAGUCCCUCGCGGAUGGAGCUGAAAUCAGUCGAAGAUACCAGCUGGCUGCAACUGUUUAUUAAAAACACAGCACUGUGCAAACACGAAAGUGGACGUAUACGGUGUGACGCCUGCCCGGUGCCGGAAGGUUAAUUGAUGGGGUCAGCGCAAGCGAAGCUCUUGAUCGAAGCCCCGGUAAACGGCGGCCGUAACUAUAACGGUCCUAAGGUAGCGAAAUUCCUUGUCGGGUAAGUUCCGACCUGCACGAAUGGCGUAAUGAUGGCCAGGCUGUCUCCACCCGAGACUCAGUGAAAUUGAACUCGCUGUGAAGAUGCAGUGUACCCGCGGCAAGACGGAAAGACCCCGUGAACCUUUACUAUAGCUUGACACUGAACAUUGAGCCUUGAUGUGUAGGAUAGGUGGGAGGCUUAGAAGUGUGGACGCCAGUCUGCAUGGAGCCGACCUUGAAAUACCACCCUUUAAUGUUUGAUGUUCUAACGUUGACCCGUAAUCCGGGUUGCGGACAGUGUCUGGUGGGUAGUUUGACUGGGGCGGUCUCCUCCUAAAGAGUAACGGAGGAGCACGAAGGUUGGCUAAUCCUGGUCGGACAUCAGGAGGUUAGUGCAAUGGCAUAAGCCAGCUUGACUGCGAGCGUGACGGCGCGAGCAGGUGCGAAAGCAGGUCAUAGUGAUCCGGUGGUUCUGAAUGGAAGGGCCAUCGCUCAACGGAUAAAAGGUACUCCGGGGAUAACAGGCUGAUACCGCCCAAGAGUUCAUAUCGACGGCGGUGUUUGGCACCUCGAUGUCGGCUCAUCACAUCCUGGGGCUGAAGUAGGUCCCAAGGGUAUGGCUGUUCGCCAUUUAAAGUGGUACGCGAGCUGGGUUUAGAACGUCGUGAGACAGUUCGGUCCCUAUCUGCCGUGGGCGCUGGAGAACUGAGGGGGGCUGCUCCUAGUACGAGAGGACCGGAGUGGACGCAUCACUGGUGUUCGGGUUGUCAUGCCAAUGGCACUGCCCGGUAGCUAAAUGCGGAAGAGAUAAGUGCUGAAAGCAUCUAAGCACGAAACUUGCCCCGAGAUGAGUUCU